rnacentral:rRNA from 1 species
UACGAAGGGGGCUAGCGUUGCUCGGAAUCACUGGGCGUAAAGGGUGCGUAGGCGGAUCGUUAAGUCGGGGGUGAAAUCCUGGAGCUCAACUCCAGAACUGCCUUCGAUACUGGCGAUCUCGAGUCCGGAAGAGGUGAGUGGAACUCCUAGUGUAGAGGUGGAAUUCGUAGAUAUUAGGAAGAACACCAGUGGCGAAGGCGACUCACUGGUCCGGUACUGACGCUGAGGUGCGAAAGCGUGGGGAGCAAACAGG